UCUCACUUGUAGGAGGUCCUCUACCGGACUCUCAUCCAGUGGCGGCGCCAACGGUCUGCCCUCCCGCGCCUCCACGGAGCUUUCCUCGCGCCGUCCAGGAAAGUUUCCCCAAGCUAGGCGGUAGAAAUGCAAAGCUGGGUUAAUUUGGUGGAGAGCAAUAUUGGAAGCAGUGAGCUUGACGCUGAUGAGAUCAAUUUUGGAGCAAUGCCCGAUGAACAAGCAAAUACGGAGGAACCUACGCCUAUAGAGGUUUCUCCGUCCUUGAAGAUAGGAAAGAAGAACAAGAAGAGAAUAAGGAAUUUCAGCGAGAAGGAGGAUAUUUUGUUGGCAUCGGCAUGGCUAGAAGUAAGCAUGGAUCGUGUUCAAUAUGUUGAUCAAAAUCGUAGUACUUAUUGGCAGCGAAUUCAUGAGUUCUACCACAAGUACAAGACAUUCGAAUCUGAUCAUAAUAUCAGUUCUCUCUCACACCGUUGGGGUGUCAUUUAAGCAAGUGUUAGCAAGUUUUGUUCAUGGUACAGUCAAGUACUUCGUUCCAAUCAAAGUGGUGUCACAGAGCAAGACAAGAUUCAACAAGCAUGUGUGUUAUACAAGGAUGCAGAUCCGGAUAACAAGUCAUUUGGUUUGCUGCAUUGUUGGAACCUGCUGCAGCAUGCCCAGAAGUGGAAAGACCUCCCUUGUAACAG